UACGGGGGGGGCAAGCGUUGUUCGGAAUUACUGGGCGUAAAGGGCUCGUAGGCGGCCAACUAAGUCAGACGUGAAAUCCUGGAGCUCAACUCCAGAACUGCCUUUGAUACUGGGGAGCUUGAGUCCGGAAGAGGUGAGUGGAACUCCGAGUGUAGAGGUGAAAUUCGUAGAUAUUCGGAAGAACACCAGUGGCGAAGGCGGCUCACUGGUCCGGUACUGACGCUGAGGUGCGAAAGCGUGGGGAGCAAACAGG
rnacentral:rRNA from 1 species